rnacentral:lncRNA from 1 species
UUGUAUUGAAACCAAUUUGUGUCUUCACCAUCUGUCUCUUUCUGUUGGAAGAAAAAUAGAAUUGUUCCUAAUUAAUCAGGAGCUAGUUGCUGGAGCUUCUCAUUGGCUCUCUAUUCCUUGGAGGUUAAACUUAACAGGAAAUCUGGCRUAUGUUAACUCUUAAUUCUGUGCAUUAAUGCAGACUUCAAUAUAGUAGCUGGUUGAUAGGUGAUAAUGCUCUGAGUGCUAAGGAGAUGAUGCACAGUAAUGGAAGCAGGACUGUGACAUAACCUUUUGCAGUGUCCUGAAAAUGGGCUCUUGCUUUCAGUUAUCUUGUUUCCUGAGAAUAAGUUCUUGCUCAUUGCUUAUAGGACUUAAUAGACAGAGGAGAGAAAUAGAUGGAGAGGUGGUGGGAAGGCAGCCCUAGGAAGAAAAGGGCAGGAAGGAGAAGACUGCUUCUUGAGCCAUCUUUGGAGGUUUUGUGCUGUAGUCACCACCAGGGCUUCUGAGAAGAGAAGCUUUCUGCUGAAAUUUUCCUUCAUCAGUUGUACUCUGGCUCUGUGAAACAACACCUUAAACCUGCCUUGAUUCAGAUAAACAUCUCCAAUUUGGCUGCAGAAGAGAAGACCUGGAAAACAAACUCAUGCAACGUGUUAAACUGUGCCAUGCCAGGAAACUUGGGAUAUCCUAUCACACGUCUCUCCUGCCUAAUGUGGACUGGUGCAAGGCUGCUGAGAAUACAGCUGCAUAGGUCUGUCGCAGCUGCACAGCUCUCCUGAGCCCAGGCUAGUUCUGCUGUGAGGACAUAAAAUAAAAAGGAAGCAUGAAAUAAACCA